GCUGCAGGGGUGCCUAAUACAUGCAAGUCGAACGAGAUCUUCGGAUCUAGUGGCGCACGGGUGCGUAACGCGUGGGAAUCUGCCCUUGGGUUCGGAAUAACAGUUGGAAACGACUGCUAAUACCGGAUGAUGACGAAAGUCCAAAGAUUUAUCGCCCAAGGAUGAGCCCGCGUAGGAUUAGCUAGUUGGUGGGGUAAAGGCCUACCAAGGCGACGAUCCUUAGCUGGUCUGAGAGGAUGAUCAGCCACACUGGGACUGAGACACGGCCCAGACUCCUACGGGAGGCAGCAGUAGGGAAUAUUGGACAAUGGGGGCAACCCUGAUCCAGCAAUGCCGCGUGAGUGAUGAAGGCCUUAGGGUUGUAAAGCUCUUUUACCCGGGAUGAUAAUGACAGUACCGGGAGAAUAAGCCCCGGCUAACUCCGUGCCAGCAGCCGCGGUAAUACGGAGGGGGCUAGCGUUGUUCGGAAUUACUGGCGUAAGCGCACGUAGCCGGCAUUUAAGUNAAGGUGAAGCCGGGGCUCAACCCGGACUGCUUUNAACUGGUUGUUGAUCCGGAGAGGGAGUGAAUCC
rnacentral:rRNA from 1 species